rnacentral:rRNA from 1 species
AUUGAACGCUGGCGGCAGGCCUAACACAUGCAAGUCGAACGAGUGGCGGACGGGUGAGUAAUGUCUGGGAAACUGCCUGAUGGAGGGGGAUAACUACUGGAAACGGUAGCUAAUACCGCAUACCAUCAGAUGUGCCCAGAUGGGAUUAGCUAGUUGGUGGGGUAACGGCUCACCAGGGCGACGAUCCCUAGCUGGUCUGAGAGGAUGACCAGCCACACUGGAAAUGAGACACGGGCCAGACUCCUACGAGAGGCAGGAGUGGGGAAUAUUGCACAAUGGGCGCAAGCCGGAUGCAGCCAUGCCGCGUGUAUGAAGAAGGCCUUCGGGUUGUAAAGUACUUGUAGCGGGGAGGCGUUACGCGCAGAAGAAGCACCGGCUAACUCCGUGCCAGCAGCCGCGGUAAUUC